UUUUCUUCUGGUAAAGUAGAGUGUACCCUUGAGAUAAAACUAUAAAGCACUCCCAUCUCUGGUGAGUAAUUUUAUGAAGUGCUUGUGGCAAUUGGUGGAAAGAGGCCGAAUGGAAAAUCCCCUUGCAUCAAGCUGUGAGUAGUGUUGUCUUUUCAGCUUGGCCAUCCAAAAUUGGUCCCCAGCUUCCCUGUUUUGGAAACCUCAAAAUACGGUAAGCGGUUUCAAUUACACCAUUCUACGAGAAAUUACAUUUUUAAAAGCAUUAUUAAUUAAACCAUCAUUUUUGUAAGGAUGUAGAUGAGAUUUACUUGCUACAAAUCUCUAGACACAGAGGCAGAGUCAAUUUCUAACACAAGGGGAGAGAAAGAAGACUUUGAAGACAGAGUCUUUGAGUGCUAGUGUUCCAAGCAGAAGAACCUUCCAUAAGCCAAUCUACUUUGGGCUCCAUCUGGGAGUAAAUCUAGUCAUCAGAGCUUUUCACAGGAUGCAGCAAGUUGGGGAUAAUCGUUAUUGUCCUUGGGGCAACAUAGUCAGAAGGUAGUUGCUGUGAUAGAGGGUCCCAAAACAAAACUGAAAACCACUAAAGAGUCAUACACUGAAAUAAAACAAUUCUCCAUAAACUCAUGCCCCUCGGUACUCAAACCAAUGUCCAAACGCCUCAGUACAGACUAUAGGCCCUUUGUGAUCUGGUGUUUGUUUACCCUAGGGCCACAUCUCUUCCCACCCUCCCUUAGCAAUUUACGCUGGCCACACUGAACCUUUUAUAGCUUCUUCAAUUGCUCGUGCUCUUUCUCACCUGCAAUUUUAUUUGUACAUGUUGUUUCCCUUUUCGCAGCUGCUAAAGAUCUUUCCUACUGACUCCACGACUUGGUUAAUUGAAAAGAGAUUCAAGGAGGCAACCGAUCGUGAUGAAGGAAGUUGGUACUCGGAGAGGAUUCAAAGUAAUAUGCUUCGUAAUGGUGACCUUUCCAGCCUCCACUUGGAUGUCCUUUCCACGUGGAAGCCGUCUGGCCUCAGUGCCUAGGAAUUUGUCGAAAGAUUAAAUGAAUGCACUGACCACCAUCAUCAAAAUAAGUAGCUGAAACAGCCCCACCAUUCUACUUUUCACUCCAAGAGACGGGAUCUCACUCAAGCUGGAAUUCAGUGGCUCCGUCAUAGCUCACUGUAACCUCAAAUUCCUGGACUCACGUGAUCCUCCCACCUCAGAGUCCCUAGUAACUGGGAUUAU